rnacentral:lncRNA from 1 species
AGCAAGCAGUCUCAUGAUACAUUCCUCCCAUUUCUAAAAACCCAUGAAACAUGAGUCAAACUUGUAAUCUACAGAUUCCUUACUCAUGUGUCAUUGUCCCAGAAAGAAUUUGUAAGGAUUGGAAGCAAAGAAAAUUUUUAGAAGCGAAAAGGAAGAGAAAGGAAAAAUUUCUGAACUUGGGUCGACCCAACCCAGAAUAGGGUCGACCCAACGUUGAGUCGACCCAAAAAAAUUCUUGAGUCGACCCAACUGUUAAAAGGGAGACUCGUGAGCUUCUAGGGCACUGUUUACCCUUUGUCCUCUUCCGAAAACCUUAUUCCCCACUCUCCAAUCUCCUCCAAUCAUCUCCAAACAC